GGGGGGGGGGGGGGGGGGGGGGGGGGGGGGGGGGGGGGGGGGGGGGGGGCUGCGGGUGUGGGGGGCGCGGGGGGCGAACGGGUGAGUAACACGUGAGUACCCUGCCCCUGACUUUGGGAUCACUUCGGGAAACUGGGUCUAAUCCCGGAUAGGCGCUCCUGCUGCAUGGUGGGGGCUGGAAAGUUUCGGCGGUUGGGUAUGGACUCGCGGCUUGUCAGCUGGUUGCUGGGGAAGUGGCUUACCAAGGCUUUGACGGGUAGCCGGCCUGAGAGGGUGACCGGACACAUUGGGAGUGAGAUACGGCCCAGACUCCUACGGGAGGCAGCAGUGGGGAAUAUUGCACAAUGGGCGGAAGCCUGAUGCAGCAACGCCGCGUGCGGGAUGACGGCCUUCGGGUUGUAAACCGCUUUCGCCUGUGACGAAGCGUGAGUGACGGUAAUGGGUAAAGAAGCACCGGCUAACUACGUG
rnacentral:rRNA from 1 species